GGGGCGAGUAUACAGUAGGCAUUUUCAUAAUGCAGAAAUCAAGACCCCUUGAAAUUUUUUAUUUUAUGGAAGGAGGACAUAACCGUCCUACAGUGAAAGUGGGUAAAUAUAUGCCUUGACGCGGUUGGCCGGACGCUGCUUGCAUGGUCGGGGAUGGCGAUAAUAUACGCUGAAUGGAAUCCAGCUAAGUACCCGAUUGCAUGACCAUUACCGCAAAGAAGAACACAACGCGCCCCUACAAUAACACUUCGCGAGGUAUUUAUCUUUAUGAACAGUGAG
rnacentral:sRNA from 12 species